AGGGUGUAAACGCUGCAGACUUGGUGUUGGAGGCCCUUUGGGGGCAUUCAGUGCCGGAGAGAAGUUGUUAAGUCUGCUACUUGGGGAGUACGUCCGCAAGGAUGAAACUUAAAGGAAUUGGCGGGGGAGCACCGCAACGGGAGGAGCGUGCGGUUUAAUUGGAUUCAACACCGUAAAACUCACCAGGGAAGACUGUUACAUGAAGGCCGAGAUGAGGACUCUGCUAGAUUUUCAGAGAGGAGGUGCAUGGCGUCAGUGACU
rnacentral:rRNA from 1 species